UGGGGAAUUUUGGACAAUGGGCGAAAGCCUGAUCCAGCAAUGCCGCGUGUGUGAAGAAGGCCUUCGGGUUGUAAAGCACUUUUGUCCGGAAAGAAAUCCUUGGCUCUAAUACAGUCGGGGGAUGACGGUACCGGAAGAAUAAGCACCGGCUAACUACGUGCCAGCAGCCGCGGUAAUACGUAGGGUGCAAGCGUUAAUCGGAAUUACUGGGCGUAAAGCGUGCGCAGGCGGUUUGCUAAGACCGAUGUGAAUCCCCGGGCUCAACCUGGGAACUGCAUUGGUGACUGGCAGGCUAGAGUAUGGCAGAGGGGGGUAGAAUUCCACGUGUAGCAGUGAAAUGCGUAGAGAUGUGGAGGAAUACCGAUGGCGAAGGCAGCCCCCUGGGCCAAUACUGACGCUCAUGCACGAAAGCGUGGGGAGCAAACAGGAUUAGAUACCCUGGUAGUCCACGCCCUAAACGAUGUCAACUAGUUGUUGGGGAUUCAUUUCCUUAGUAACGUAGCUAACGCGUGAAGUUGACCGCCUGGGGAGUACGGUCGCAAGAUUAAAACUCAAAGGAAUUGACGGGGUCAUAGCUGUUUCCU
rnacentral:rRNA from 1 species